rnacentral:tRNA from 1 species
GGGCUGGGGCUCAGUGGUGGAGUGCUUGCCUAGCAUGUGUAAGGCCCUGAGUUCGAUCCUCAGCACCACA